rnacentral:rRNA from 1 species
AUUGAACGCUGGCGGCAGGCCUAACACAUGCAAGUCGAGCGGAUGACGGGAGCUUGCUCCUUGAUUCAGCGGCGGACGGGUGAGUAAUGCCUAGGAAUCUGCCUGGUAGUGGGGGACAACGUUUCGAAAGGAACGCUAAUACCGCAUACGUCCUACGGGAGAAAGCAGGGGACCUUCGGGCCUUGCGCUAUCAGAUGAGCCUAGGUCGGAUUAGCUAGUAGGUGAGGUAAUGGCUCACCUAGGCGACGAUCCGUAACUGGUCUGAGAGGAUGAUCAGUCACACUGGAACUGAGACACGGUCCAGACUCCUACGGGAGGCAGCAGUGGGGAAUAUUGGACAAUGGGCGAAAGCCUGAUCCAGCCAUGCCGCGUGUGUGAAGAAGGUCUUCGGAUUGUAAAGCACUUUAAGUUGGGAGGAAGGGCAGUAAGUUAAUAUCCUGCAGUUUUGACGUUACCGACAGAAUAAGCACCGGCUAACUUCGUGCCAGCCGCCGCCGUAAUAC